CACGUAGGGGGCAAGCGUUGUCCGGAUUUAUUGGGCGUAAAGAGCUCGUAGGCGGCUCAGUAAGUCGGGUGUGAAACCUCCAGGCUCAACCUGGAGACGCCACCUGAUACUGCUGUGGCUAAAGUCCGGUAGGGGAGUGUGGAAUUCCCGGUGUAGCGGUGAAAUGCGCAGAUAUCGGGAGGAACACCCGUGGCGAAGGCGGCUCUCUGGGACGGUACUGACGCUGAGACGCGAAAGCGUGGGGAGCGAACAGG
rnacentral:rRNA from 1 species